AGCAUAUCAAUAAGCGGAGGAAAAGAAACCACAGGGAUUGCCCUAGUAACGGCGAGUGAAGCGGCAACAGCUCAAAUUUGAAAUCUGGCUCUUUUAGAGUCCGAGUUGUAAUUUGCAGAGGGCGCUUUGGCUUUGGCAGCGGUCCAAGUUCCUUGGAACAGGACGUCACAGAGGGUGAGAAUCCCGUACGUGGUCGCUGGCUAUUGCCGUGUAAAGCCCCUUCGACGAGUCGAGUUGUUUGGGAAUGCAGCUCUAAAUGGGAGGUACAUUUCUUCUAAAGCUAAAUAUUGGCCAGAGACCGAUAGCGCACAAGUAGAGUGAUCGAAAGAUGAAAAGCACUUUGGAAAGAGAGUCAAACAGCACGUGAAAUUGUUGAAAGGGAAGCGCUUGCAGCCAGACUUGCUUACAGUUGCUCAUCCGGGUUUCUACCCGGUGCACUCUUCUGUAGGCAGGCCAGCAUCAGUUUGGGCGGUAGGAUAAAGGUCUCUGUCACGUACCUCCUUUCGGGGAGGCCUUAUAGGGGAGACGACAUACUACCAGCCUGGACUGAGGUCCGCGCAUCUGCUAGGAUGCUGGCGUAAUGGCUGUAAGCGGCCCGUCUUGAAACACGGACCAAGGAGUCUAACAUCUAUGCGAGUGUUUGGGUGUCAAGCCCGAGCGCGUAAUGAAAGUGAACGGAGGUGGGAACCCGCAAGGGUGCACCAUCGACCGAUCCUGAUGUCUUCGGAAGGAUUUGAGUAAGAGCAUGGCUGUUGGGACCCGAAAGAUGGUGAACUAUGCUUGAAUAGGGUGAAGCCAGAGGAAACUCUGGUGGAGGCUCGCAGCGGUUCUGACGUGCAAAUCGAUCGUCAAAUUUGGGCAUAGGGGCGAAAGACUAAUCGAACUAUCUAGUAGCUGGUUCCUGCCGAGUUUUCCCUCAGGA
rnacentral:rRNA from 1 species